GGCUCCGUAGUUUGUAUAUUGAAGCGCCCAUCUAGUGAAUAGGGAGUCGUGGGUUCGAUCCCCACCGGAGCAC
rnacentral:tRNA from 1 species